rnacentral:rRNA from 1 species
CCUACGGGGGGCUGCAGUGGGGAAUAUUGGACAAUGGGGGCAACCCUGAUCCAGCCAUGCCGCGUGUGUGAAGAAGGCCCUCGGGUUGUAAAGCACUUUCAGUGAGGAAGAACGCCUGGUGGUUAAUACCCAUCAGGAAAGACAUCACUCACAGAAGAAGCACCGGCUAACUCCGUGCCAGCAGCCGCGGUAAUACGGAGGGUGCGAGCGUUAAUCGGAAUUACUGGGCGUAAAGCGCGCGUAGGUGGCUUGAUAAGCCGGUUGUGAAAGCCCCGGGCUCAACCUGGGAACGGCAUCCGGAACUGUCAAGCUAGAGUGCAGGAGAGGAAGGUAGAAUUGCCAGUGUAGCGGUGAAAUGCGUAGAUAUCGGGAGGAAUACCAGUAGCGAAGGCGGCCUUCUGGACUGACACUGACACUGAGGUGCGAAAGCGUGGGUAGCAAACAGGAUUAGAUACCCCGGUAGUC